rnacentral:rRNA from 1 species
AACGAACGCUGGCGGCAGGCCUAACACAUGCAAGUCGAACGCCCGUAGCAAUACGGGAGUGGCAGACGGGUGAGUAACGCGUGGGAACGUGCCCUUCGGUUCGGAAUAACUCAGGGAAACUUGAGCUAAUACCGGAUACGUCCGUAAGGAGAAAGAUUUAUCGCCGAAGGAUCGGCCCGCGUCGGAUUAGCUAGUUGGUGAGGUAACGGCCCACCAAGGCGACGAUCCGUAGCUGGUCUGAGAGGANGAUCAGCCACACUGGGACUGAGACACGCCCAGACUCCUACGGGAGGCGAGCAGUGGGGAAGUAUUGGACAAUGGGCGGAAAGGACCUGAUCCAGCCAUGCCGCGUGAGUGAAGAAGGCC